GUGGGGAAUAUUGGACAAUGGGCGAAAGCCUGAUCCAGCCAUGCCGCGUGAACGAUGAAGGCCUUCGGGUUGUAAAGUUCUUUAGCCGAUGAUUAUAAUGACUGUAGUCGGAAAAUAAGCCCCGGCUAACUUCGUGCCAGCAGCCGCGGUAAUACGAAGGGGGCGAGCGUUAUUCGGAAUCACUGGGCGUAAAGCGUGCGUAGGCGGUUUUGUAAGUUAGGAGUGAAAGCCCAGGGCUCAACCUUGGAAUUGCUCUUAAAACUGCAAGGCUCGAAUCUCGGAGAGGAUAGCGGAAUUUCCAGUGUAGCAGUGAAAUGCGUAGAUAUUGGAAGGAACACCAGUGGCGUAAGCGGCUAUCUGGACGAGUAUUGACGCUGAGGCACGAAAGCGUGGGGAUCAAACAGGAUUAGAUACCCCAGUAGUCC
rnacentral:rRNA from 1 species